rnacentral:antisense_RNA from 1 species
GGAAAUAGUGAGGGGAUUUUUUGGUGCAGCUAUGUCGCCUUAUUAUUUGUUACGAUUGUUUAGCCAAAACGUGAAAAUCGCAACAAUGCAUC